rnacentral:misc_RNA from 1 species
UAUCCGUAGGUGAACCUGCGGAAGGAUCAUUAAAAAUGAAGCCGGGAAACCGGUCCUUCUAACCCUUGAUUAUCUUAAUUUGUUGCUUUGGUGGGCCGCGCAAGCACCGGCUUCGGCUGGAUCGUGCCCGCCAGAGGACACAACUCUGUAUCAAAUGUCGUCUGAGUACUAUAAAAUAGUUAAAACUUUCAACAACGGAUCUCUUGGUUCUGGCAUCGAUGAAGAACGCAC